UACGUAGGGUGCGAGCGUUGUCCGGAAUUAUUGGGCGUAAAGAGCUCGUAGGCGGUCUGUCGCGUCGAAUGUGAAAACCCGGGGCUCAACUCCGGGCUUGCAUUCGAUACGGGCAGACUAGAGUUCGGUAGGGGAGACUGGAAUUCCUGGUGUAGCGGUGAAAUGCGCAGAUAUCAGGAGGAACACCGGUGGCGAAGGCGGGUCUCUGGGCCGAUACUGACGCUGAGGAGCGAAAGCGUGGGGAGCAAACAGGAUUAGAUACCCUGGUAGUCCACGCCGUAAACGGUGGGCGCUAGGUGUGGGGACCUUCCACGGUCUCUGUGCCGCAGCUAACGCAUUAAGCGCCCCGCCUGGGGAGUACGGCCGCAAGGCUAAA
rnacentral:rRNA from 1 species